ACGGAAGGCAGCAGUGAGGAAUAUUGGUCAAUGGGCGGAAGCCUGAACCAGCCAAGUCGCGUGAAGGAUGAAGGUAUUAUGUAUUGUAAACUUCUUUAGCUGUGGAGCAAUAAUCUCCAUGUAUGGAGAGAUGAGAGUACGCAGAGAAUAAGGAUCGGCUAACUCCGUGCCAGCAGCCGCGGUAAUACGGAGGAUCCGAGCGUUAUCCGGAUUUAUUGGGUUUAAAGGGUGCGCAGGCGGCUUUCUAAGUCAGUGGUAAAAUCGUGGUGCUCAACGCCAUCCCGCCAUUGAUACUGGAGAGCUUGAUUGCGGUCGAGGUUUGCGGAAUUCGUCGUGUAGCGGUGAAAUGCAUAGAUAUGACGAAGAACACCGAUUGCGUAGGCAGCAGACCAGGCCGUAAAUGACGCUCAUGCACGAAAGUGCGGGGAUCGAACAGGAUUAGAUACCCUGGUA
rnacentral:rRNA from 1 species